rnacentral:lncRNA from 1 species
UUUUCUCUGCUAGGGUUCCAAGGCUAGGAACCCUGCCGCUGUCACGCCUCCCCACUACCCGGUGGCCGGAGCUAUGCAAGGGCGCCUCUUAUCAGCGCAUUGAAGCACGUUCAGAAGUCGAGGCCAUGGAACAGAGAAACAAAGGGAAAGAGAAAAGCUUUGGCCCCUCCUUAAACCCACAUCCGGCGACGGUGAAGUACCAUCGACGGCGGGCCUAAGGGCCGAUUCAGGUAACUUUCUUUACUUUCUCUGCCGAUUAUUUUAAAAUGGAUUUAAAAAAACAAACAAAUAAGUAAAUAAAAAAUAUAUGAAAAAACAAAGAGAAUAGUCUAAAAUCAACCUUUUGAAUUUUUGUUUCUGAGUUUCGAUUGACUGAUGUGUGUCCAAAAAAAAUACAAGGAUUCGAUCAAGGCUUUUAUAGCCGAUUUCAAUAACUCAUUUCUUUUUCUUUUUUUUUUGUUUCCAUUAACUAUAUCGCCUGCAUGCUUCUGUUGUUGCAUUCAAUUUUCUCUGCAGGUGUCAAAGGCGUGGAGGAGCAGUGAUAGGCGAGCCUUGGGCGGUAGCAGCGUGCGAGGAGCUGGAGCGGCGCACAUGGGCAGAGUGCGGCGCACCCUAGGGUUCCCCAUCCCUUGCUGCUGGAAGUUUUUGUUUGUGGGCUAGGGUUGUAUUUUGGGCUGGCAUAAUUGCGUUUGAAUUUGCUGUAAAUGGACUGUCAUUUUUUUUAUAUUUG